UUUUUAGCAUAAGUAUGGACCAUGUAAUAUUUGGGAUAUACUUAUACUAAAA
rnacentral:pre_miRNA from 1 species